AUUGAACGCUGGCGGCAGGCCUAACACAUGCAAGUCGAACGAGUGGCGGACGGGUGAGUAAUGUCUGGGAAACUGCCUGAUGGAGGGGGAUAACUACUGGAAACGGUAGCUAAUACCGCAUACCAUCGGAUGUGCCCAGAUGGGAUUAGCUAGUAGGUGGGGUAAAGGCUCACCUAGGCGACGAUCCCUAGCUGGUCUGCGAGGAUGACCAGCGAAACUGGAACUGAGACACGGGCCAGACUCCUACGGUAGGCAGCAGUGGGGAAUAUUGGGCAAUGGGUGCAAGCCGGAUGCAGCCAUGCCGCGUGUAUGAAGAAGGCCUUCGGGUUGUAAAUUACUUUCAGCGGGGAGGCGUUACCCGCAGAAGAAGCACCGGCUAACUCCGUGCCAGCAGCCGCGGUAAUAC
rnacentral:rRNA from 1 species